GAAUCAGCGGGGAAAGAAGACCCUGUUGAGCUUGACUCUAGUCUGGCAGGUGAAGAGACAUGAGAGGUGCAGAAUAAGUGGGAGGCCUGGCGCCCCUCCAUCUCUGCGAGGGGGUGGGGUCAGACAGUGAAAUACCACCACUGGGGGGACAGUCCCAGGUGGGGAGUUUGACUGGGCGGUACACCUGUCACACGGGAACGCAGGUGUCCUAAGGCGAGCUCAGGAGGACAGAAACCUCCCGCGGAGCAGAAGGGCAAAAGCUCGCUUGAUCUUGAUUUUCAGUACCAAUACCGACCGUGAAAGCGGGGCCUCACGAUCCUUCAGACCUUCUGGGUUAGAAGCAGGAGGUGUCAGAAAAGUCACCACAGGAAUAACUGGCUUGUGGUGGCCAAGCGUUCAUAGCGACGUCGCUUUCUGAUCCUUCGCUGUGGGCUCUUCCCAUCAUUUCCAUCAUUGUGAAGCAGAAUUCCUCACGCGUGGGAUUGCUCACCCACUAAGAGGGAACGUGAGAUGGGUUAGAUUCAACCUCCUGAGGAUGUGUUGUUGCCAUGGUAAUUCUGCUCAGUAGGAGAGGAACCGUAGGUUCAGUUGGUGGAUGUGCUUGGCUGAGGAGCCCAUGGGGCGAGCUACCAUCUGUGGGAUUAUGACUGAAGCUUCUAAAUCAGAAUCCCGCCCAGACAGAACCAUAGGGCUGCACCUUGGGCCUCGGUUGCCCUCAGAUAGUCGGUCCUUGCCGGCGGGCCGUCUCGCCCCCUCUGCACAUCUGGUAGGUCCGGUGCGGAGAGCCCUUGGUCCUGGGAAAUGGGGUCCGGCUGGAAAGGGGUCCGCCCCCUCCGUUCUUCAAGCAAUGCACAUUUGUGGGGAGCCUGGUGCUAAACCAUUCGCAGUUGACCUGCUUCUGGGUGGGGGUUUUGUAAGUAGCAGAGCAGCUCCCUCGCUGUGAUCUAUUGAAAGUCAGCCCUCCACACACGGGUUU
rnacentral:ncRNA from 1 species